rnacentral:misc_RNA from 1 species
GAUGAAGAACGUAGCGAAAUGCGAUAAGUAAUGUGAAUUGCAGAAUUCAGUGAAUCAUCGAAUCUUUGAACGCACAUUGCGCCCAUUAGCAUUCUAGUGGGCAUGCCUGUUCGAGCGUCAUUUCAACCCUUAAGCCCUGUUGCUUAGCGUUGGGAGCCUACAGUACUGUAGCUCCCCAAAGUUAGUGGCGGAGUCGGUUUCACACUCUAGACGUAGUAAAUUUUUCUCGUCUGUAGUUGAGCCGGUCCCCUGCCGUAAAACACCCAAUUUAUCAAGGUUGACCUCGGAUCAGGUAGGAAUACCCGCUGAACUUAAGCAUAUCAAUAACGGAGA